UGAAAAACUGUUGUCUCUCUUCCUCUACCUCUCUCUUACUCUUCCUCUUCCUCUUUCUUUUGUCUCUAUUUCUCUGAUAUCGUUCUCCUUUUGAUUUUUGUGCAGAUGAAUAUGAUGUUGAUGGUGAUGAUGAACACGUUUGCUGAUGAUAUCGUGAUGUUGAUUUUUAACUGUUGAUGGUUGUUGCUAAGGGUUACGGUUGAGAAAUUGAUGAUGAUGUUGGUGACGCUUAAAGUCACAGCAAAUCGGUGAGAUCUUUCUUUGUUUUUCGUGUUUUGAGUUCUCUAAUCUCUCUUCUUCUCUCAAUAUUUUCUGAAGGGUUUGUGUAAAAUAUGAGGAAGAUGAUGAUAAAAUAGGGUUUCAUGAACGUUAGUGUUGUAUCCCAUUUACUGAAUAUGAACUAAGUUCUUUUUCUUUCUUCUCAUAGUUUUUGGAAAAUUUGUAUACAUGAUGAUGAUGAUGAUGAUGAAAUUUUAGGGUUUUGGUUCUGUAUUCUGCUGCAGUGAAAAUUGUGAAUCAGAUUCUCUUUACUGUGAACCAAAGUAUAAUUGUGAUUUGUAGUAAAGAUUAGACCCAUGAUUUGAAACAUUCCCCUUAAAAAUUUUGAUUCCUUCACAUAAACCCUAAUGAUGAAUUAUGAAUCUUCUAUUGUUGUUGUUUGGAACUUAAUUGAAUUUCAUGUUUGUUUUUUUUUUGCAGAGUGAUUGUGGAUAAUUCUUCAAGUAGAACAACCACUUUGAUAAAGGCAGCUAUGGUUAAAGAACCCCUAUCUUCCUCCCAUGCAUCCCCCUAAUGGCACUGAGAAAUUCUCUAUCAACGUUUACUCACCUAGAAAUGGAACACUCACUGGAUUCCCUGCAUUCAAAAGUGGCCCUUCAAAGUCUUCAAAGCGAAAGAUGUGAAGCGUGUCGAUAGAGCUUACGCGCACUCCACCUUUGUUAUGGCAGUCCCUAAAUCAUAUGUUUCAAUUGCGAUUUACUCAGGGGCAGUUCCACAACAGUUUCACAUGUUUGUAUAGGUUCUUCGUAUGACUAUCAAUGGAUGGAAAAUGAUGAUUCACCUUGCCUUCUUUGUCGGUACCGGGGUGCGGGUGACGAAAGAAAUUGGAGCGGGAAAAGGAAAAUCAGUAAAAUUUGCAAUGCAAAUCUCUGUGAUACAAUCAACAGUGGUUGGAUUAGUCUUCUGAGUUCUAAUAAUGAUAUUCCAAACUUAAUGUAGUAUUAUGUUGAAUUGUCCGGUUUUGAUGCAAGCUUGGCAAAGGUUGUUGAUUUCGGUCUUUCGAGGUCAGGGCCAUAUUUCCUGGAAAUCAAUCAACAAUGCCUGCACAAAUCAGUACUUCUCAGGAUGUUGGACUCCAUGCUAGGCAUACCAGUACCGUGUCAACGACAAUAUGUGGGAUGAUGCAAAUUCUCUAUGGCCUAAGGAGGUGCAAAACUAUUUAACUCGAGUGAUGUAUGAUAGGCGUAACAAGUUCGACCCUUUGUUGAACUCCCUUAUACUUGGCGUGACAAUCACAUAACUACUUGGCUUGGAAAUCUUCUUGAUGUGCUUGAUCUCCGUAUUGAGAUGCAAAUGGAAUAACUGGCAAAGAAAAAUGCAGAAAUUGAAAAGGCUGUUCAACAAAAGAAUCAAGAGGUUGAGAACCUUGAAUAUUCUCGUGGUAAACCAAUGAAAAGGCUUUCCAUAAUUGUAACCAAGUUUGCUGAACUUCACCACCUAUCUGCAAAUCUCCUUUCUGUGAUUGAAAAGCUUCAAUCGCAAUUGCAAGAAAAAUAUUCGGAAAUUUCUUUCUUAAGGCAAGAGGUUACUCGAUGCACUAAUGAUGAUCUUCAUGCAUCACCACUGAAAAACCAGAGAAAUCUGGAUGAGAUUGUUGAGUUCUUUAUGUGGGUUGACACAAUUUUAUCUCUAGAUGGGAUGGAUGAUAUACCUCCUGAUAUGAAGAGUGAUGCUUAGGUUCACCAGUACAAAGAAAUACUUCAGAACAAGUUGAUGUCUUUAAUAUCAGAGUUAGAGAAUCUAAGGGAAGUUGCAGAAAGCAGGGAUGAAAUGUUGCAAGCAGAAAAGAGUAAAGUAGCAGAGUUGAACCAUAAAGCUUAGCAUUCAAGUGGAGCAAUUGGUGCAAGGCUUUCUACUGAUGCAACUUCGAUUCGAGCUUUCAUUGGUGAUGCACUUGGCAUACUGGUUGAAAAUAUUGCUACAACUAUAGCUGGCUUGGUAACUGCUUUUGUAGCUAGCUGGCAGCUUGCUCUUAUAAUCCUUGAUAUGGUGCCUCUCCUUGCCCUAAAUUGAUUUUUGCAAGUGAAGUUCUUGAAAGGGUUCAGCACUGAUGCAAAGCAAGCCAAGUGGCGAAUGAUGCAGUAGGGAAUAUACGAACUGUUGCUUCUUUCUGUCUAAAGAGAAAGUGAUGGAAUAUGGGAAAAAUUGGUUCAAAGCAAGUUGCCGACUUAAUGAAUGAAGGCCACCUUAGUCAGACUCAGCAAACAUUGGUUCAAAGCAAGUUGCUGACUUGCUUUACACCUUACAUUCAAGAAGGCCAAGCCAACACUCUACCUCAUAACCCUUUUGCUCCUAAUUAAUCAACUGCAAAUCCAAGGCCUCCAAAACAGCCUAGAAUUUCCCUUCAACAUCAUCCGAACAAUCAUUUAUUACAGCUCAGAAUAGGGCACAAUAAUUUAAUGCUUCCUUCCGUAUGUCACCCAAUAUUAGGAAGUUUUUCUGCAAAUUCCACUUAUAUGAACCAACAAAUGAAUACCUCAUUCCUUCAGCAUCCAGUAGGUUUCGGAAGCUCAAUUGUCUCACAUAAUCUUCCCUUGGUAAUCUUAAAAGGCUUCAAUUCUUGAGCAGGAUGAGAAGGGUAUUCCCGUGUCGGGUGAUGUUCGAAAUACAUGGGCAGGUUAUUCCCUUUUGCAGGCUUUGUUUAUCAAAGAGCAUAAUGCAGUAUGUGACAUGCUAAAAAAGAACUGUUACGACGUUACCAAAUAUGCACUCGAGAGUUCUGUAGAUGUUACAGUCAUGGUUGAAGUGUGAUAAGUCACCGACGUCGACGUUUGAACUCAAAUAAGUCUCCUUUUGCUUCUCCAGUUUUAACUCAGAAGUUCAAAGUGUGUUUGUGGUUUUCCUGUAAACAACAAUUAUGUUUCUAUAUGAUGAUGCAGAGAGAACUGCUUCAGCAAAUUGACCGCCUUCGGUGUAACCAACAUGAUGUGAAGGUAAACCACUAAGUUGGGAGAAUGUGUCCAUGUCCAUGGGGCUGUAUGAGAAUAAGAGAACAAAAUAUAAUACUUCUGUAUAGUUAAGUGAGUGGAAAGAAUUUGUAAUAAAAGGGAAGGAUAUGUGUAGUAUGGUGAGGGAGAAAGAAUGUUAUGGGAAGAGGUUUAUAAAGAGGUUGAGAGAUGAUAGUUGAGAGAGAAUAAAAGGUUGGAGUAUGAGACAGUGGAAGUCCACAGACUGAUUGGUGAGUUGAGAGAAUAUUAUUAUGUGCGCCGUUGUUGUCACUAACAACAUGACUGCC